GACACUCGUCGACGUCAUCGUUACCGCUGUCCUCUGAUAUUCGUUGUACAUACACGAGGAACCCCUUUAAUAUGAAUUUCUUAUUGGAUUUCUUUACGUGGGCAUACAAUAGUCCAAAACAUACAUAAACAAAUUGUACAAAGUGUCGCUUCUAUCCUGAUUAAUUAUUCAAACGUGGCAUUACUAUGGAGCGUUUCGCAACUCACUUUUCUCCACGUCGUUUUGCGUCAAUGAUUUUCCUAUCCUAGGCAUCCCAAGCUACAGUAAAUAUUAUAAUUUUGGUACAGUAGUAUAUUUGUUUACGCCUAUAAUUUUGCAACAAGAGGCCAAAUGGCCACUCUCUACGUCACUUUGCUACAGCAUUUAAAGAUAUGUCCGAUCUUUUAAAAUAUGUAUAUUCCUUCGACAGUCGCGUUGACAUGCUUUAGCUUCAAUUUAUUCAAGAAAUUUUACAAAUUAGAUUUCCAUAUUUCAUAAUUUCAAGAAAACUAUUAUAUAUGAAAGAAAGAUGAAACAUCCAACGUUAUAAAUAAUUCCCGUUAGCCAUGCGGUGAGUUUCAUUUUCCAAAAUUUUCCCAGAUAUUCGUGCAUUGCGUAAGCGAGGUUUAUGUUUUGUGUAACCACGAGAAAUGCGUGACAGAUCAGGAACACGUUCGACGAACAAUCUUCGAACCGUUCAUGACCUUGUAACGUGUACAAUACAACUCCAUGUAUAGAAAAUAAAUCGCUCUUCCCAUCUUCAAACGGUACUUCAAACACGACGAUGGAAUCGGCGAGCUUCUGGAUCCCGUAAGACACGUAGAUUAAUCUACGGCCCCCGUUCAUUUCCAAAACUCCACUUUUACCAUAACAAUGUAAUGAAAGCCGGCAUUAAACAUCUCAUAUAUUAUAAGAGUAAUGCAGUCGCUUCUCGUUAGUCUUAAUCACCUACGUCCCGUUCAUUAAAUACUGAAAACUCUUCUCGCUUUAGGUACAGUUUACAUGACUCUUUUAUCGUUCAUAAACAAUACACGAUGAUAGCUCAGUGCGAAGUGAGGGAAUGGUAGGACAGAAGUCACACUGGGAAUGUCUUCGAAGCGAAGAGCUUUGUUGCGUAAAAGUACUUGGAGGAGCGAUGGACGCGUCCGCGUCAUUCUAUUGGUCGGUCACCUGUUGCCUGCCGGGCCCUGAUUGGUCAGUGCUGGCAGGCCGUAACGGCUAGAGGGAGACAAGUGCAUUGGAACUCAGUCUGUAACGGACUAAGAUCGCGACAGGAGAAGGGGCUGUGGGCCAGCGCGAAACUUCUGACCGAUUUCUUCCAGGUUCUAAGCUUUUUUUAUUAGACGGCCGCGAAACUACCUAUGAUUAUUGGUCGGCUCGGUAUUUGCGGUCGAGCUAGGUCGAUCAUGUGAGUCAAUUUUGGGGUAUUGAGUUUUCGGCGUGGCACGAGCGAUGGUUUGUUUACGGCACAGUGGUAGGACACUAUUCCCGCCGGCCAUGGACUGGCAGCAAUAACGAGGAGAGGGGACUUCGCCGAAUAAAUUUGUGAGCAUUAAGGCCGCCCGAACGUUUCCGCGUGCGCUCAGCAUCUACCCGACUGUCUCCACCAACGUGGUAGGGUACACCGACCAGUAAAUAGACUAAUAAGUAAACCGUCAUGUAUACACUCAAACCGUAAAGUUUAACAAUAUUGGCAGAAUAGUUUUCAGCAUCGAUGUAGCUGAUUCAUCAUAAUUUAUAUUAAUUGUCCAAAAAUAUUCCAAGUAGUCAAUGCACAGAAGUUGGAGAAAUCGAUUGAAAACUAGCAAAGUAACAGACAUAUCAGUAAAUGGACAAAAAUGACUAAAAAUGCGACAUCAGUCGUGAAUGUUGAUUACAUGUGAUGUUUCACUCAUCGUGCUAAAAAAUGGAUAAAUAUUAUCUUAUUCGCGCUGUAUUAAGAUGUACGGUAGAUAUAGUUACCUCGUAGUACAAUAAAAAAGAACUUUAUUGUUUAUUACUUCACAUUUCCUUCAUAUUUGCAUGAUGCCAUAAUCAUUUAUUAAUAAUGCACAUGGUAUAUAUAUAGAGAGAGAAAGAAGUACUGUAGAAUGAAAAGAACAGAACUUGAGGGUUUUUACCGUUUUUUAAAGAUUUUUACUCUCAAGAUAAAUAAUUAAAAAACUUUUUUCUUCUAUCAAGUUUCUAUUUAUUUUGUUUUGUAGUAUAUCAAUAUUUCUUAUCAUUUCUUGAACUGGAAUGAAUUACAACACGGUGAAUGAUUAGCAACACUGAUUUUGAGCGCGCAUAAUUUUGAAAGACAUUUGAUCGUUUUUCAAAAUGUACGGUGUAUUUUUGAUAAAAGAUCAUGCUUCCAAUAUGAAGCAAAUAUGACGUAUCAAUAAAAAUUCUUUUUCAUCAUGCCAUGAAGUAAACUUAAACCAUACCUACCGUAUAUUUUGGUUGAGCAUAAAUGAGGUAAUAUUUAUCUCUUUUUUAGUUCAAUUAAUGAAGCAUCACAGGUAAUCAACAUUGACGAUUCAUGUCGCAUUUAUAUGCCAUUAUUUAAUUUAACAAAUAUGACUGUCAACCUUACUGAACGUUGUGUUUAAUCAUACAGGUCUUUACUUAGGCAGUGAUUAAACAUACAUUCCAGAUACUGGCUAAAGAAUAAAGAUUUAGAAUCACAGUAUUAUUAUUGAAAUUAAAUACUAAUAUAUAUUUUAAUUUAUUAUUAUUCAUAUUAUUAUUUUGAUUAAACACAGCACAAACAUAAAGUUUUUUAGCAUGAUAAUUCAAAUGUUAUACUUUUUGGCAUUUAAAGUAUAAUUACUCACAAUUAGUCUUAGAUUUAGGCUGAGACUUAUAACGAUAUUAAUAAAUACUGAAUAAUAAGUAAUGCAAAAUAAUUUUCCAAUUUUUAACAAAUGACCUCAAAACCAAAUAUCUUUAUUCAAUUGUUCAAUGCGUUUUGUUAAUCACGAUAUUAGAGCCCACAUGAUCAUUCGCUGAUAGGUUAAAAUAUGAGGCCAGUAAAUAAACAAGAUUAUUUACAGCAUAUUUUUACGAUAUUAAUGAAAAAGUUAGUGCAAUAUAAAUAAAGAUAAACUCUAUCUUUACCAAUAAAGCUCAAUACUUAACCUCAAAGAUGCAUUAAAACACCUAUCGUAGCUAGUCAUUAUUGAGCUGACGAAGCUGUUCAUUUAGUAUUUUGCGUGCUAAAUGCAUAUUAUGAAUUAUAAAAAUUCUUCCUGGCGUCGAAGCUUUACACAAAGCCGUAGGAUCGGUCUUAGAGACAUCUGUGAUGUUUUUCUUAAGCUGAGUAAUUGAAUUAUUUGAACAAUGUAUAGUUCCAUUUUAUUUAUAAGACAUAAGUGAACAUUUUCAUUCAGCUUCAUUCAGUUUCAUUCAGUUUCAGGUCAGUUUACCCUAUUCUAUCACUAAUGGAAUAAGAGCGCCUUCGUCUGUAUAUCUCUUCAUAGCAUUGCAACGAUAAGCAAUAA